rnacentral:rRNA from 1 species
CCUACGGGAGGCAGCAGUGAGGAAUAUUGGUCAAUGGCCGGAAGGCUGAACCAGCCAUGCCGCGUGAAGGUCAGUGCCCUAUGGGUUGUAAACUUCUAUUAUAUGGGAAUAAAACAGGGGAUGCAUACCCACUUGUAUGUACCAUAUGAAUAAGGAUCGGCUAACUCCGUGCCAGCAGCCGCGGUAAUACGGAGGUUCCGAGCGGUAUCUGGAUUUUGUGGGUUUAAAGGGAGCGUAGGUGGAUUGGUAAGUCAGUUGUGAAAGUUUGCGGCUCAACCGUAAAAUUGCAGUGGAAACUGGCAGUCUUGAGUACAGUAGAGGUGGGCGGAAUUCGUGGUGUAGCGGUGAAAUGCUUAGAUAUCACGAGAAACUCCGAUUGCGAAGGCAGCUCACUGGACUGCAACUGACACUGAUGCUCGAAAGUGUGGGUAUCAAACAGGAUUAGAUACCCUUGUAGUU